rnacentral:rRNA from 1 species
CCCUUAGAUGUUCUGGGCCGCACGCGCGCUACACUGAUGCAUUCAACGAGUUUCUUCCUGGUCCGAGAGGAAUGGGUAACCUUUUGAAAGUGCAUCGUGAUAGGGAUAGACUAUUGCAAUUAUUGGUCUUCAACGAGGAAUUCCUAGUAGACGUAGUUCAUCAGACUGCAUCGAUUACGUCCCUGCCCUUUGUACACACCGCCCGUCGCUCCUACCGAUUGAAUGCUCAGGUCAGCCAUUCGGACUUUCAUCAUGCUGGUUUCCAGUUUUGAUGAAGGAAAGUCUUGCGAACCUUAUCAUUUAGAGGAAGGAGAAGUCGUAACA